rnacentral:rRNA from 1 species
GGGUUGUGAGGUUAAGCGACUAAGCGUACACGGUGGAUGCCCUGGCAGUCAGAGGCGAUGAAGGACGUGCUAAUCUGCGAUAAGCGUCGGUAAGGUGAUAUGAACCGUUAUAACCGGCGAUUUCCGAAUGGGGAAACCCAGUGUGUUUCGACACACUAUCAUUAACUGAAUCCAUAGGUUAAUGAGGCGAACCGGGGGAACUGAAACAUCUAAGUACCCCGAGGAAAAGAAAUCAACCGAGAUUCCCCCAGUAGCGGCGAGCGAACGGGGAGNNUGUGAGCUCGAUGAGUAGGGCGGGACACGUGGUAUCCUGUCUGAAUAUGGGGGGACCAUCCUCCAAGGCUAAAUACUCCUGACUGACCGAUAGUGAACCAGUACCGUGAGGGAAAGGCGAAAAGAACCCCGGCGAGGGGAGUGAAAAAGAACCUGAAACCGUGUACGUACAAGCAGUGGGAGCACGCUUAGGCGUGUGACUGCGUACCUUUUGUAUAAUGGGUCAGCGACUUAUAUUCUGUAGCAAGGUUAACCGAAUAGGGGAGCCGAAGGGAAACCGAGUCUUAACUGGGCGUUAAGUUGCAGGGUAUAGACCCGAAACCCGGUGAUCUAGCCAUGGGCAGGUUGAAGGUUGGGUAACACUAACUGGAGGACCGAACCGACUAAUGUUGAAAAAUUAGCGGAUGACUUGUGGCUGGGGGUGAAAGGCCAAUCAAACCGGGAGAUAGCUGGUUCUCCCCGAAAGCUAUUUAGGUAGCGCCUCGUGAAUUCAUCUCCGGGGGUAGAGCACUGUUUCGGCAAGGGGGUCAUCCCGACUUACCAACCCGAUGCAAACUGCGAAUACCGGAGAAUGUUAUCACGGGAGACACACGGCGGGUGCUAACGUCCGUCGUGAAGAGGGAAACAACCCAGACCGCCAGCUAAGGUCCCAAAGUCAUGGUUAAGUGGGAAACGAUGUGGGAAGGCCCAGACAGCCAGGAUGUUGGCUUAGAAGCAGCCAUCAUUUAAAGAAAGCGUAAUAGCUCACUGGUCGAGUCGGCCUGCGCGGAAGAUGUAACGGGGCUAAACCAUGCACCGAAGCUGCGGCAGCGACGCUUAUGCGUUGUUGGGUAGGGGAGCGUUCUGUAAGCCUGCGAAGGUGUGCUGUGAGGCAUGCUGGAGGUAUCAGAAGUGCGAAUGCUGACAUAAGUAACGAUAAAGCGGGUGAAAAGCCCGCUCGCCGGAAGACCAAGGGUUCCUGUCCAACGUUAAUCGGGGCAGGGUGAGUCGACCCCUAAGGCGAGGCCGAAAGGCGUAGUCGAUGGGAAACAGGUUAAUAUUCCUGUACUUGGUGUUACUGCGAAGGGGGGACGGAGAAGGCUAUGUUGGCCGGGCGACGGUUGUCCCGGUUUAAGCGUGUAGGCUGGUUUUCCAGGCAAAUCCGGAAAAUCAAGGCUGAGGCGUGAUGACGAGGCACUACGGUGCUGAAGCAACAAAUGCCCUGCUUCCAGGAAAAGCCUCUAAGCAUCAGGUAACAUCAAAUCGUACCCCAAACCGACACAGGUGGUCAGGUAGAGAAUACCAAGGCGCUUGAGAGAACUCGGGUGAAGGAACUAGGCAAAAUGGUGCCGUAACUUCGGGAGAAGGCACGCUGAUAUGUAGGUGAGGUCCCUCGCGGAUGGAGCUGAAAUCAGUCGAAGAUACCAGCUGGCUGCAACUGUUUAUUAAAAACACAGCACUGUGCAAACACGAAAGUGGACGUAUACGGUGUGACGCCUGCCCGGUGCCGGAAGGUUAAUUGAUGGGGUUAGCGCAAGCGAAGCUCUUGAUCGAAGCCCCGGUAAACGGCGGCCGUAACUAUAACGGUCCUAAGGUAGCGAAAUUCCUUGUCGGGUAAGUUCCGACCUGCACGAAUGGCGUAAUGAUGGCCAGGCUGUCUCCACCCGAGACUCAGUGAAAUUGAACUCGCUGUGAAGAUGCAGUGUACCCGCGGCAAGACGGAAAGACCCCGUGAACCUUUACUAUAGCUUGACACUGAACAUUGAGCCUUGAUGUGUAGGAUAGGUGGGAGGCUUUGAAGUGUGGACGCCAGUCUGCAUGGAGCCGACCUUGAAAUACCACCCUUUAAUGUUUGAUGUUCUAACGUUGACCCGUAAUCCGGGUUGCGGACAGUGUCUGGUGGGUAGUUUGACUGGGGCGGUCUCCUCCUAAAGAGUAACGGAGGAGCACGAAGGUUGGCUAAUCCUGGUCGGACAUCAGGAGGUUAGUGCAAUGGCAUAAGCCAGCUUGACUGCGAGCGUGACGGCGCGAGCAGGUGCGAAAGCAGGUCAUAGUGAUCCGGUGGUUCUGAAUGGAAGGGCCAUCGCUCAACGGAUAAAAGGUACUCCGGGGAUAACAGGCUGAUACCGCCCAAGAGUUCAUAUCGACGGCGGUGUUUGGCACCUCGAUGUCGGCUCAUCACAUCCUGGGGCUGAAGUAGGUCCCAAGGGUAUGGCUGUUCGCCAUUUAAAGUGGUACGCGAGCUGGGUUUAGAACGUCGUGAGACAGUUCGGUCCCUAUCUGCCGUGGGCGCUGGAGAACUGAGGGGGGCUGCUCCUAGUACGAGAGGACCGGAGUGGACGCAUCACUGGUGUUCGGGUUGUCAUGCCAAUGGCACUGCCCGGUAGCUAAAUGCGGAAGAGAUAAGUGCUGAAAGCAUCUAAGCACGAAACUUGCCCCGAGAUGAGUUCUCCCUGACUCCUUGAGAGUCCUGAAGGAACGUUGAAGACGACGACGUUGAUAGGCCGGGUGUGUAAGCGCAGCGAUGCGUUGAGCUAACCGGUACUAAUGAACCGUGAGGCUUAACCUUACAACGCCGAAGGUGUUU